GUCUAUGGCCAUACCACCCUAAACGUGCCCAAUCUGGUCUGGCCUCAAAAGCUAAGCAGGGUCAAGUCUGGUUAGUACUUAGAUGGGAGACAAGUAUUUGGAAGAGACU
rnacentral:rRNA from 1 species